rnacentral:sRNA from 1 species
GUGGCCUCUGAGGCCCUGGCUGAACUGCUCCAUGGGGCCCUGCUGAGGAGGGGCCCAGAGAUGGGCUACCUGCCAGGAUCUGAUCCGGACCCCACGCUAGCCACCCCUCCGGCCAGCCAGACUGUCACAGUGCCCUUCCUGCCACGGGCCACUGAGCCAGGGACAGGGCCUCUGACAACAGCCGUCACCCCUAACGGGGUCAGGGGGGCAGGCCCCACCGCGCCAGAACUGCUGACCCCGCCCCCAGGAACCACAGCCCCACCCCCACCCAGCCCUGCCUCCCCAGGGCCUCCCCUUGGGCCUGAGGGAGGAGAGGAGGAGACGACGACCACCAUCAUCACCACGACAACUGUUACCACUACGGUGACCAGCCCAGGUGCAGACGCUGAACCUGUCACAGGAAGAGGAGCUCCUGGUGCUGGCUGGUGGGGGAUCCCCAGGCCUGGCCCCCCGACUCCUGGCCAACUCGUCAAUGCUUGGAGAAGGACAAGUCCUUCGGAGCCCAACCAACCGGCUGCUUCUGCACUUCCAGAGCCCACGGGUCCCAAGGGGCGGUGGCUUCAGGAUCCACUAUCAGGCCUACCUCCUGAGCUGUGGCUUCCCUCCCCGGCCGGCCCAUGGGGACGUGAGUGUGACGGACCUGCACCCUGGGGGCACUGCCACCUUUCACUGUGAUUCGGGCUACCAGCUGCAGGGAGAGGAGACCCUCAUCUGCCUCAAUGGCACCCGGCCAUCCUGGAAUGGUGAAACCCCCAGCUGCACGG